GGCCGCCAGAAGGGUGAUACCUCCCAGCAGCCACGCCACGCUGAGACUUCGCAUCCCCGGACGUGGGGCGGGCGGGCAAUCCGCCACCAUUCCUGUUACAGAAUUACCAGCCGCUGCCCACAGAAGAGCCACUGUCCACAGAGGAACCUGAUGCGAACAUUUACCAAGUGGAUCCUGAUGGUGAAAGUCAGCUACACCUCAAAAUUGAGGAUGCUCCUAGACAGCAGGAAGCAGCUUAAGAGACAUGGUGCCCUCAUUCCCUUUCACCAUCGUCUUCCUCCUCUUUUCCUUCUCUUUAUAAGAAGAAGAAGGGAGGAAUGUUGAUACUAGGACCUCCAAAACCUGUGACAUCACAAAGGCGACAAUGCAACCUGUAUGCCUGUUGCCAAGGCAACAGCCACCAUAUUUCCAGAAUCCAUUGGGCUCACCUUUACCUGUGAUCACCACAUCACCAUUCGUGUGUGUGUGUGUGUGUGUGUGUGUGUGUGUGUGUGUGUAUUAGAGGAAAGCCCUCUCCUUCCCCCCUUUUCUUUCCACCACCACCUUUGUCCCUUCCCUCCUCAAUAAACCCUUCGUGGAACUGUU